rnacentral:rRNA from 1 species
CGACGAGAGCGCAUGCUGGUGCAGUGAGGAAAAGGCGUAAAGAACCCUGUUUACGGUACUAAGAAAGCACUUGUAAA